AACGAACGCUGGCGGCAGGCCUAACACAUGCAAGUCGAGCGAAGCCUUCGGGCUUAGCGGCGGACGGGUGAGUAACGCGUGGGAGCGUGCCCUUUGGUACGGAAUAGCCCCGGGAAACUGGGAGUAAUACCGUAUGUGGUCGAGAGACGAAAGAUUUAUCGCCAAAGGAUCGGCCCGCGUUGGAUUAGGUAGUUGGUGGGGUAAUGGCCUACCAAGCCGACGAUCCAUAGCUGGUUUGAGAGGAUGAUCAGCCACACUGGGACUGAGACACGGCCCAGACUCCUACGGGAGGCAGCAGUGGGGAAUCUUAGACAAUGGGGGAAACCCUGAUCUAGCCAUGCCGCGUGAGCGAUGAAGGCCUUAGGGUUGUAAAGCUCUUUCAGCUGAGAAGAUAAUGACGGUACCAGCAGAAGAAGCCCCGGCUAACUCCGUGCCAGCAGCCGCCGUAAGAC
rnacentral:rRNA from 1 species